GCUCCAAUAGCUCAGCUGGAUAGAGCAACGGAUUUCUAAUCCGUAGGUCUCAGGUUCGAAUCCUGAUUGGAGUA
rnacentral:tRNA from 1 species